rnacentral:rRNA from 1 species
AUUGAACGCUGGCGACAGGCCUAACACAUGCAAGUCGAACGAGUGGCGGACGGGUGAGUAAUGUCUGGGAAACUGCCUGAUGGAGGGGGAUAACUUCGGGAAACGGUAUCUAAUACCGCAUACCAUCAGAUGUGCCCAGAUGGGAGUAGCUUGUGGGUGGGGUAACGGCUCACCGAGGCGACUAUCCCUCCCUGGUCUGAGAGGAUGACCAGCCAAACUGGAACUGAGACACGGUCCAGACUCCUACGGGAGGCAGCAGUGGGGAAUAUUGCACAAGGGGCGCAAGCCUGAUACAGCCAUGCCGGGUGUAUGAAGAAGGCCUUCGGGUUGUAAAGUACUUUCAGCGGGGAGGCGUUACCCGCAGAAGAAGCACCGGCUAACUCCGUGCCAGCAGCCGCGGUAAUAC